CCCUCAUGGCAAGGAGGCAGGGGUGACAUGCUGCAUGUGGAGCCUCAGCUGGCUGCCAACAUCUCAGGGCCCAUAGGGUUUAGCACCACCAAUCUCCCUCCCACAUUCCCUGAUGCUCCUCAGCCUCUCCACAUCCUCCUUCAGGUCAACCACAAGGUUGAAUAAGUCAUUGAGCUGAUUGUAUCUUACACAAGUGCUGCCUCCCUCAUCUAGCACUGCAAAGGCCAGGCUCUGGCACCCACUACAACCAGAGACCUGCACAGUAGCAUCUUGUUUCAGGAUCUCAGUCUGGGUCUCCACAUUUUUCCUGUCAGCAGCCUUGCACCGAGGUGCAGCCACAGCAAACCAGCAGACUCACAACUAUUCAGGUAACUUUAAAGAGUGUGACUGAUCAGCUCUGCCCUGCUGCCAAUAGUGCCGGCACUGCCCCUGCCCCUUAACAAGUGCCCCCGCGCUUAACAAGCGCCCCCGCUUCACAGUGAUAGCAACCCUUCUCGCUCUGUAACCCCAUGAAUGAGCGGCUUACGGUUUCUCCGCGUUUGAACUGCCCACGCAAUCCACGCAUCCCCAGCUCCUCCUCUCCGUCCCUGCUGGGCCGCCCUCCCUGCGGCUUUUCUAGGCGGGGAUGCAGCGCCCAGGCAACGCCCGCUCCACGUCUUUGUUUGUCACGUCAGUCAUGUCUGUCACGUCAGCCGCUGCCGGGCUGCUCUGUGAUGUCGGGGUUCUGUGGGUAAAGGAACCGACCGAAACGCCCCUGUACCUCGGUGACAGUCGCUGCUGUUCGGUCCGGGACAGUUCUGAAGCAGCGAACCUUGGCAGUCCAGGUCACUAUACUGGGGCAGAGACCUCUCCUGUGACUUCUGUGCCCAAAUCAACUUACUGAAUCAAUCAUUCUUUGAAGACAAUGAAGGAGCUUUCUCUGAGGAAGAAGCCACAAACCUCAAACAACUUGCUCGUGGGUGGACCCUGGGAAACAGAGUGACUGAGAAACCAAGAACACCAGAUUCUUGGGUCUACGAGGAGAGCAAGCAAGGUGUAUCCUGAUAUCAGGCAUUACCAGAAGUAAGGUUAGUUUUAUCUAACUUAAGGCAUCCGUGAUACAGAUACCUACUGCAGAGGUUCUCUAAAUGCAAAGAGAGAAAUUCACAGGUGUGAUUUACCUGUCCUAUUUUAGGCAGCAUUGUAGAUAUCUCCAUUUGAUCUCAUGAAUCCCACCCGUUUCCUGACAAAGAU